AGAGUUUGAUUAUGGCUCAGGAUGAACGCUGGCGGCGUGCUAACACAUGCAAGUCGAACGAGGUUAAGACUCGGUUUAAACCGAGUGGCGGACGGGUGAGUAACGCGUGGGUAACCUGCCGUAUGCAGGGGGACAACAGUUAGAAAUGACUGCUAAUACCGCAUAAGCUUACAGUAUCGCAUGAUACAGUGAGAAAAGAUUUAUCGGCAUACGAUGGGACCCGCGUCUGAUUAGCUAGUUGGUGAGGUAACGGCCCACCAAGGCGACGAUCAGUAGCCGACCUGAGAGGGUGACCGGCCACAUUGGGACUGAGACACGGCCCAAACUCCUACGGGAGGCAGCAGUGGGGAAUAUUGCACAAUGGGCGCAAGCCUGAUGCAGCCGACGCCGCGUGAGUGAUGAAGUAUUUCGGUACGUAAAGCUCUAUCAGCAGGGAAGAUAAUGACGGUACCUGACUAAGAAGCCCCGGCUAACUACGUGCCAGCCGCAGC
rnacentral:rRNA from 1 species